rnacentral:lncRNA from 1 species
GAUGCUGUGAUGUUGAGACAAAGAAAUGCAGGGGAACUGGGGCUGGAAAGGUAGUUGGAGGCCUCCCCUGUCCUGCAGCAACGUGGUCUCCUGAUUUUUAUUUCCAGGAAAAGAGUUGGAAAUGAUAUUGGAGGACCAAGUGUUCCCCAUAGUUUUUCCCCGAAAGAGUUGGAGAAAAAUUUCGAAUAAUGAGCAAAAUCCUAUGGUUACCAACUCUUAUUUAGCAGAAAGAGCCCCCCAGUUCUGUCCAUACAGGUCAUUUAUUACACCCAGAGAAAUCUUUGUAGUCACUACAAAAGUGCAGCUACCUCUGGGGUACGAUGCAGCAGCUAUUUAACUGUCACGUAACAUGACAAUCGAGUGUCCUAUUAGAGCGAAAAUUUAAUUGUGAAGACGGGUACCAUAUUUAACUGCAAUCCUGGGGGGAAUUUAGGUUGACAGGCUGUAAUUACCCAAACUGGAACCUGGCCAGGACACACCUACUCUUUGCCAAAAGAGCUACGGGGGCGGGGGGGGGGGGUUCAACCACAGCAGGCCUGCUGACGCGGGAAGGUGGGGGAAUUGGCACUUGUGGCCCCACAGCGCCCCCUAACAGAGCUCUGGGCCAGCGCAGGUGCUGCGGGGAGCUGGCCUCUUCUGACCCUCCACAGUCACAGUGGCCUCCCAGGCCCCUCCCUGGCUCCACCUGGCUCCAGUCCAUCAUGGGUGAACAGAAACUUUCCAUUUAAGGUUGCAUGGCUGUGGGUUCUGUAGGCAGGGUUUUGCUGGGUCUUAUCUCUGUCUGUCUGUCUGUUUGGUCCUCUCUGUGUGUCUCUCCCUGGGACCUGCUGUUUCUCUCUUAUCAUGACGGAAGUGCUUGUCCUGAUAAAAUAAUUACCCACCAGAGCACAGUGGUUCUGAUCACCAGCUGCUGUUUCUACAUAGAGAUCAAUUAGAGGCAUGUUUUCACUGGGGAAGUGGGCUGGUAGGGCCCGUUUACUAAAAAUCCCAUUAGGAUUCUUACUGUGAAAUGCAUUAUACUUUGGUCUUCCAAAGCAGUUGCUAGCAGCAAAAAUAAAAAUUGGGCCAAGAAGAGGUAGAAAUGUGACCUGCUAGUGUCACCGAAGGGUUAACAGGGAGAAAGUUCUAGGCUGCGAGCAGCAGUGUGAAUAAAUGUGGUCUUAAUUUAAGGUUAUGGAUUUUUUUAAAAGCCUUGCUUUUUGUCUUCAGAAGUCUUUGCAUUCAUAUCAGUUAAAAAAUAAUUUAGACAGAAAAUAAAUGUUGGAGCAAACUCAAAUUAUUAUGUGCAUUUUAAAUAAACCUUUGUUUUCUGCCGCAGACAUAGCAUAUGAAUAAUAACAUUAAUAAUGAUCACGCUCAUUUGUCAAUGGAUGAUCUUUUCUCUCAGACCUUCCAGGCUGUUGGUUCCUGGCCUGUUUAACUGAGCCGAUCCUCCUUCAUGAGGGGAGCUGUGGAUAACAGGCCUGACUCUCUCCGCAGGGCGGAAAAGUGCAAAAGCCUAGGGUUCUAGUCCCAGCUCUGCCCUAAUUAACUGUGUAACCUUGGGCAAGGUGCUUAACAUCACCGGGCAGCUGUCAAAGAUCGGAAUGAUCUCUCAGGGGGAGGAGUGGAGCCCAAAGGUGAAAAGUGAAAAGCAAUGUAGUGACAUCACCUGGGAAGAUUUUCUUCUUCCUUUUUUUAAGAUAAAAGUUCUGAAAAAAGAAACAGACUCAAAAAGCAACUUCAGCGAAGCGAGUGUUAGAUGGGGCACAGGAGAAAGUUAGAUUAAGGCCAUUGUUUUUUAAAUAUAUGGGAUAUUUUUUAUUUAGUUUCUAAGGAUAAGCAUAUAUGCAUACACACAUAGGUACUUUUUUGUCAUAGGGAAAUCCACUUAAAAUGGUCACAUGUUAAAAAAUUGAAAGAUAGUUGAUUUGAAGUGUUGUGUUGGUUUCUGGUAUAUAGCAAAGUGAUUCCUAUAUAUAUGUGUGUGUGUGUACAUAUUAUAUAUAUAUAUAAUAUAUAUACACUUUUUUGUAUUAUUUUCCACUAUGUUUUGUUAUAGGAUAUCAAAUAUAGUUACUUGUGUUAUAUAGUAAAUCCAUAUUGUUUAUUUUAUAUUUUAUAUAUAGUGGCUUGUAUCUGCUAAUCCCAAACUCCUAAUUUAUCCCUCCCCCAUUCCCUUUCCCCUUUGGUAACCAUAAGUUCGUUUUCUAUGACUGUGAGUCUGUUUCUGUUUUGUUAUCUGUAUUGUCUUUGACUUAAUUCCCUCAGUAUGAGAAUUUCUAGGUCCAUUCAUGUUGCUGCAAAUUCUUUUUUAUGGCUGAGUAGUAUUCCAUUGUGUGUGUGUCUCUCUCUCUGUGUGUGUGUAGCACAUUUUCUUUAUUCAUUCAUCUGUCAGUGGACACUUAGGUUGUUUCCAUGUCUCGGCUAUUGUGAAUAGUGCUGCUAUGAACAUAGAGGUACAUGUAUCUUUUCAGAUUAGAGUUGUUCUCCAGAUGUAUGCCCAGGAAUGGGAUUGCUGGAUCACAUGGUAACUCUAUUUUUAGUUUUUUAAGGAAUGUCCAUACUAUUCUCCAUGGUUGCUGGUGGCUGUACCAAUUUAACAUUCCCAGCAACAGUGUAGGAGGGUUCCCUUUUUUCCACACCUUCUCCAACAUUUAUUAUUUGUAGACUUUUUUAAUGAUGCCCAUCCUGACCAGUGUGAGGUGAUACCUCAUUAUAGUUUUGGUUUGCAUUUCUCUAAUAAUUAGUGGUGUUGAGCAUCUUUUCAUGUGCCUAUUGGCUAUUUAUAUGUCUUCUUUGGAGAAAUGUCUGUUUAGGUCUUUUUUUGAUUGAAUUGUUUUUUCGUUAAAAUGGUCAUUUCUUGGCUUCCCUGAAAAGAGAUUUCUAUUGCUCUACAAAGGCAACAACAUUGUAAUAUUAGUAUCUAUUUAAUUUUCCAGUAGUAUAAAACUGUCCAGAUGUUGCCAGUAGAAGAAGAAUAUGUAAGGUUACAUCACACAAAAGUGCCAUUUCUAUAGGUCAAAAGAGUUGAGUAGAAGAAAUUUCAUAUGGUUCAAACUAAUAAUGUAUCAUCUAGGGUAUAUAUAUAUAUAUGUAUAUGUGUGUGUGUGUGUGUAUACCAUAAUAUACAUAUGGUGUGUGUGUGUGUGUAUAUAUAUAUAUGCCCUUUGAUAUAUAAUAAUAAUAAUACAGUUGAGAGAACUGUGAUUCUUCUAUAUUCUUAUUUCUCAGCAAAUAUUUUCUCAGUGAAAGAUCGGUACACCCUUCAUAUUCCUGUCCUAAUACUAAGACGACAUUAAGACUUAUCAACAGAAGACAGUUUAGUAUCCCAGGUUACAUUUCUAAACAUGGGGACAGGCCCUGAUUUGGUCCUUUAAGAAUCAAACGAGAAGUUGAUACAUGGAAAGAUCACUUAGAGCUGCUGGCUCCCAGCAAAGGCGAAGGGUGCCUUGCACACCUGGGAACACUGAUUGUAGUGGAAUUGGGCCCAGUGAGACCUCUUUGCACAGCUUCACACAGAGGUUUGAGAUGAUAAUAUAUGCCCCUGGGGAAGGAUGCCUUUUAGCAGAGUUAAUUGGCAAUUAUUUUUUAUUAGAGAUUUUAUAAAUUAAAAAUACAAGUUGUAUACCCAAUAAUGAUAUCAGAAGCAGCUAAUCUAAUGGAAUGUCCUGGGAUAUUUUCAAGAGAAAAGAUGGGGCUCCUAGAGGUAGGGAAGUUUCCAUGAAUAAAGUGAGUGCAUUCCAAAAUGAGUAAUGAAAUAAUAAUUCCAGAGAGGAACAAUCGAAUUUACCACUGAUUAAAAAUUUUACUUAUUUUUAAUUUAUGGACUUAGGUCUUUAUCUGUUGCUUCUUCCACCUCCAUAAAGUAGCCAGAAUAACCAGACCAAGUACUCCCUAAAACAUAAUUUUCAGUGGCGAUAACUAUAAAUUUUCAUUGUGAAAAGUCAAUAAAUUAUGGAAAACUAUGAAAUAAGCAAGUAAAAAUCGUCUGUAAUCUCAUCUCUCAGAAAGUAUGAUUUUAGAGCACUUUUACCCAGAUGAUUUUCUACCUGCACACACUUUUAAAAAAAUGCUCAAAAACCAAAUCAUUUUCCACCUCCAGUUCCUCCAAUUUCCAACUUUCUUUGUUUCCUUUAGUGACAUCCACAUGUCAACAGCUUUCCAUAUUAAUAGAAGCUAUUGAUCUUUUUAAAGUGACCACAUCGUCUUCAACUGUAUGCUUAACCAAUCAGCUAUUGAUACACAUUUAGAUAGCUUCCAGCUUUGCUACUCUAAAGCUCACUGAGAUGAUCAAUCUUACCGUACACAUCUUUGUGUACUUGUUUGCUUAUUCCUUAGGAUGCAUCUCUAGAGGUGGAAUCUGUGAGUCAACGGACAAGGCUUUUGUUAUUCAUUGCCAAAUUGCUCUCCAGAAAUGCUGUGCCUGUUUAUACUCCCAUUAGUGGCAAUUGCAAAUACCAAUUCCCCAUCACUUGGCCUGAGGAUGAGCUAUAUGUUUAAUCUUUGCUAAUCUGAUAAAUGAAAAAUUACAUUCUAUCAUUCAGGCUCACUGGUAGUCAACGAGAUGCCAAAUAAAACAGCACGUCUUCACUCUACAUAUAUUGUCAAUUUGCAUUUCUUCCUUUGUGGAUUACCUACUUAUGCCUUUUGCCAGUUUUUCUAUUUGGGUAUUCUUUGCUUUCUUAUUGUCUGGAAGGGCAGCAUAUUCAUCUACAUUUUAUUUUUCCAGUCAUACUGAGGUACCCUACAGUUAUAGCUCUCUUUUCCCUCCAAAUCACAUUUUUUCAUUACUUUCUAGAGGCUCUGGAAUGAAAGCAUAAGGGAUCUUGGAAACCAGAGCAGAGGAAACAUGACUAUUAAUAGUAACACUUGACAUUUCUAUUUGCAGUGUGCUACAGGAUCACUAAUUAGUCCCACCUUCAGCUUACCCCAGGGGUCACCCUGGCUGCCGUUCAUUCACCCUACAAGCCACUGAGGCACAGGACAGAGAAAGCUGUGGCUUUCCCCUUGGUGGGUAACACUCUCCUUGGCUAGGACUUAAAUCCAAGCUGCCCAUCUGUGCUGAAAUCAGAGGGAGGCACUUUCCUCCACAGAGGAAUCGCAGGGUGCGCUCAGACCAUGGGGAUGAGCUCUCUGGACGAAACUCCGCUACUGUCCCUUCCUCUUCACCCAAAAGGGAACUCAUAUAAUACAUAGGAUGGUUUGCACCUGGGGUUUUCUGACCUGAACAUGGGCCAUAGAACGGAUUGUACCACUUUGUAACUCACAGUUAAAUUGGACUAUCAGGAUGCCUACUGCAAGAGUUAGGGAGAACCAAGGAGAAAGGAGGGAAUGAGUGGACAGAAAAGGCCUUCUGACCUGCUGAAGUGUGUGCCCCCAAGGUGGCCUGGAGUGAAGUUCCUUCAUACCACAAAGGUCGAGUGCUCCCUGGGAACUAGGCUGGGGCUGGGGAAACAGUGACGCUUUGCAGUCACAGUGGAGUCUGAUAUGUACCGUUGUGUGGCUUAUAAGGGCAGCACAGGGCUCUACAGCAGCGGAGGAGAGACUUACUAGAAGGGGAGCCUCUCUGCUGAGAUCCAUUAGGGGCACAGGAGUUCAUCAGGAAAGGGCAGAUCUUUGAGGAUGGGAGAGAUGACGGCAACAUGCAAACUUUCAAGAAGAAUGGAGUGGGAGGGAUGCCAGGAAAGCCAGAUUUAGAAAAGAUAAUGGCCUACGGCAGUGCUUCUUCUAUUGUCUUUGGAGAAGGAUUAGGGCUUUUCCUCUCCAGUGUUGUCACAGACAGUAUUUUUGUAAUAAGAUGCAAUAAGGAUUUCCCGCUAUGGUGGUUUAAGAAUCCGACUGCAGCAGCUCGGGUUGCUCUGGAGGUUCGGGUUCUAUCCCUGGCCUGGUGCAGUGGGUCAAAGAAUUCAGCAUUUCCACAGCUGCGGCAUAGGUUGCAGCUGAGGCUUGGAUUCAGUCCCUGGCCUGGGAAUUUCCAUGUGCUCGGGGUGCAGCC